rnacentral:rRNA from 1 species
CCUACGGGAGGCAGCAGUGGGGAAUAUUGCACAAUGGGCGCAAGCCUGAUGCAGCCAUGCCGCGUGUAUGAAGAAGGCCUUCGGGUUGUAAAGUACUUUCAGCGGGGAGGAAGGCGGUGUGGUUAAUAACCUCGACGAUUGACGUUACCCGCAGAAGAAGCACCGGCUAACUCCGUGCCAGCACCCGCGGUAAUACGGAGGGUGCAAGCGUUUAUUGGAAUUUCUGGGGGUAAAGCGCACGCAGGCGGUCUGUUAAGUCAGAUGUGAAAUCCCCGGGCUUAACCUGGGAACCGCAUUUGAAACUGGCAGGCUUGAGUCUGGUAGAGGGGGGUAGAAUUCCAGGUGUAGCGGUGAAAUGCGUAGAGAUCUGGAGGAAUACCGGUGGCGAAGGCGGCCCCCUGGACGAAGACUGACGGUCAGGUGCGAAAGCGUGGGGAGCAAACAGGAUUAGAUACCUUGGUAGUCCACGCCGUAAGCGAUGUCCUCUUGGAGGUUGUUCCCCUGAGGCCUCGCUGCCGGAGCUAACGCGUUAAGUAGACCGCCUGGGGAUACGUCGAAG